AGAGUUUGAUCCUGGCUCAGGAUGAACGCUAGCUACAGGCUUAACACAUGCAAGUCGAGGGGCAGCAUGGUCUUAGCUUGCUAAGGCCGAUGGCGACCGGCGCACGGGUGAGUAACGCGUAUCCAACCUGCCUUACACUCUUGGACAGCCUUCUGAAAGGGAGAUUAAUACAAGAUGUUAUCAUGGGUAAGCAUUUUCGCAUGAUUAAAGGUUUACCGGUGUAAGAUGGGGAUGCGUUCCAUUAGAUAGUAGGCGGGGUAACGGCCCACCUAGUCUUCGAUGGAUAGGGGUUCUGAGAGGAAGGUCCCCCACAUUGGAACUGAGACACGGUCCAAACUCCUACGGGAGGCAGCAGUGAGGAAUAUUGGUCAAUGGACGAGAGUCUGAACCAGCCAAGUAGCGUGAAGGAUGAAGGUUCUAUGGAUUGUAAACUUCUUUUAUACGGGAAUAAACGAAUCCACGCGUGGAUUUUUGCAUGUACCGUAUGAAUAAGGAUCGGCUAACUACGUGCCAGCAGCCGCGGUAAAACGUAGGGUGCAAGCGUUGUCCGGAAUUACUGGGUGUAAAGGGAGCGCAGGCGGGAAGACAAGUUGGAAGUGAAAACCAUGGGCUCAACCCAUGAAUUGCUCUCAAAACUGUUUUUCUUGAGUAGUGCAGAGGUAGAUGGAAUUCCCGGUGUAGCGGUGGAAUGCGUAGAUAUCGGGAGGAACACCAGUGGCGAAGGCGGUCUACUGGGCACCAACUGACGCUGAGGCUCGAAAGCAUGGGUAGCAAACAGGAUUAGAUACCCUGGUAGUCCAUGCCGUAAACGAUGAUUACUAGGUGUUGGGGGAUUGACCCCCUCAGUGCCGCAGUUAACACAAUAAGUAAUCCACCUGGGGAGUACGACCGCAAGGUUGAAACUCAAAGGAAUUGACGGGGGCCCGCACAAGCAGUGGAGUAUGUGGUUUAAUUCGAAGCAACGCGAAGAACCUUACCAGGUCUUGACAUCCGAUGCAUAGCACAGAGAUGUGUGAAAUCCUUCGGGACGCAGAGACAGGUGGUGCAUGGUUGUCGUCAGCUCGUGUCGUGAGAUGUUGGGUUAAGUCCCGCAACGAGCGCAACCCUUAUGGUCAGUUACUACGCAAGAGGACUCUGGCCAGACUGCCGUUGACAAAACGGAGGAAGGUGGGGAUGACGUCAAAUCAUCAUGCCCUUUAUGACUUGGGCUACACACGUACUACAAUGGCGUUAAACAAAGAGAAGCAAGACCGCGAGGUGGAGCAAAACUCAGAAACAACGUCCCAGUUCGGACUGCAGGCUGCAACUCGCCUGCACGAAGUCGGAAUUGCUAGUAAUCGCAGAUCAGCAUGCUGCGGUGAAUACGUUCCCGGGCCUUGCACACACCGCCCGUCAAG
rnacentral:rRNA from 1 species